rnacentral:rRNA from 1 species
UACGUAGGGGGCAAGCGUUGUCCGGAUUUAUUGGGCGUAAAGAGCGUGUAGGCGGCUGGGUAGGUCCGUUGUGAAAACUCGAGGCUCAACCUCGAGACGCCGAUGGAAACCCUCCAGCCUAGAGUCCGGAAGAGGAGAGUGGAAUUCCUGGUGUAGCGGUGAAAUGCGCAGAUAUCAGGAAGAACACCCGUGGCUAAGGCGGCUCUCUAGUACGGUACUGACGCUGAGACGCGAAAGCGUGGGGAGCGAACAGG